ACCGAAUAAAACUUAGUGUCGCAUGACACAAAGUUAAAAGGCGCUUCGGCGUCACCUAGAGAUGGAUCCGCGGUGCAUUAGUUAGUUGGUGGGGUAAAGGCCUACCAAGACAAUGAUGCAUAGCCGAGUUGAGAGACUGAUCGGCCACAUUGGGACUGAGACACGGCCCAAACUCCUACGGGAGGCUGCAGUAGGGAAUCUUCCACAAUGGGCGAAAGCCUGAUGGAGCAACGCCGCGUGUGUGAUGAAGGCUUUCGGGUCGUAAAGCACUGUUGUAUGGGAAGAACAGCUAGAAUAGGAAAUGAUUUUAGUUUGACGGUACCAUACCAGAAAGGGACGGCUAAAUACGUGCCAGCAGCCGCGGUAAUACGUAUGUCCCGAGCGUUAUCCGGAUUUAUUGGGCGUAAAGCGAGCGCAGACGGUUUAUUAAGUCUGAUGUGAAAGCCCGGAGCUCAACUCCGGAAUGGCAUUGGAAACUGGUUAACUUGAGUGCAGUAGAGGUAAGUGGAACUCCAUGUGUAGCGGUGGAAUGCGUAGAUAUAUGGAAGAACACCAGUGGCGAAGGCGGCUUACUGGACUGCAACUGACGUUGAGGCUCGAAAGUGUGGGUAGCAAACAGGAUUAGAUACCCUGGUAGUCCACACCGUAAACGAUGAACACUAGGUGUUAGGAGGUUUCCGCCUCUUAGUGCCGAAGCUAACGCAUUAAGUGUUCCGCCUGGGGAGUACGACCGCAAGGUUGAAACUCAAAGGAAUUGACGGGGACCCGCACAAGCGGUGGAGCAUGUGGUUUAAUUCGAAGCAACGCGAAGAACCUUACCAGGUCUUGACAUCCUUUGAAGCUUUUAGAGAUAGAAGUGUUCUCUUCGGAGACAAAGUGACAGGUGGUGCAUGGUCGUCGUCAGCUCGUGUCGUGAGAUGUUGGGUUAAGUCCCGCAACGAGCGCAACCCUUAUUGUUAGUUGCCAGCAUUCAGAUGGGCACUCUAGCGAGACUGCCGGUGACAAACCGGAGGAAGGCGGGGACGACGUCAGAUCAUCAUGCCCCUUAUGACCUGGGCUACACACGUGCUACAAUGGCGUAUACAACGAGUUGCCAACCCGCGAGGGUGAGCUAAUCUCUUAAAGUACGUCUCAGUUCGGAUUGUAGUCUGCAACUCGACUACAUGAAGUC
rnacentral:rRNA from 1 species